AUGUUAGAAGGUGCUAAAUCAAUAGGUGCCGGAGCUGCUACAAUUGCUUUAGCCGGAGCUGCUGUCGGUAUUGGAAACAUCCUCAGUUCUUUGAUUCAUUCCGUGGCGUCAAAUCCAUCAUUGGCUAAACAAUCAUUUGGUUAUGCCAUUUUGGGCUUUGCUCUCACCGAAGCUAUUGCAUUGUUUGCCCCAAUGACGGCCUUUCUGAUCUCAUUCGUUUUUCGAUUGCAUAAAAAGUCAUGA
rnacentral:rRNA from 1 species